rnacentral:rRNA from 1 species
GAAUCCUUCGUCGCCCAGUCGUGGUGGACCGGAACUACUCCACCACCACCACCACCACCACCAGGGAGGUCCAUCCGGUGGCGAGCGCGAGGGAGGAACAUGCGCCUUGAUUCUUCCGCUCGCGCAAGCUUCGGCGGAGUUCCCACCCACCUCUGCUGACGCCGCGCCUCCGAUCUCUCAUCGCCCCGGGACCCCUCCGCCGCCGGAUCUGCUCCGGCGAUGGGGGAGCAGCCGCAGCCGCAGCAGGAGCCGCUCCUCGAGGUAGAACAAUGUGUCACUUCCAUACCGGAAGAUCAUGAAGCCACUUGCUGGGGCUGCGGUCUUCGGCUUGUAUUUUCAAGUUAUUCACCUGUCUACAAGUGUGGCUGGUGUGGAGCAGUCACCCAAGGCAACCAAACUUCAAGAAAACCUGACAGUGUAUGUUUUUCUCACUGGAGGCGUUUCCGGGAUGGGUUCUUUGUGACUGUGCUUGCCCUCUUCAUGCUCUUCGUUAUAUGUGGCGGGGUCUGGGCGGUGUAUCCAGUUGUUUUCUCAAUCAGCAUCUUCUGUGGCAUCUUUCACUGCACAGUAGCAGCUCUCUUAUCUGUAUUUACAAUUGCAAGUUAUUGUUUGGCCUCUUUCAAGUCUGCUGGUGCACCACCAGGCAUACGUUGGGGAAGCUAUCCCAUGGUUGGAAAAAAUGAUCUUGAGAACUAUACUUUCUGUACAUAUUGUAGUAAACCUAAACCCCCAAGAGCACAUCACUGCCGAUCUUGUAAAACAUGUGUGGUGGACAUGGAUCAUCAUUGCCCAUUUAUUGGGAACUGUGUGGGAGCUUCAAAUCACCAAGCUUUUGUCAUUUUUCUCAUCUCUGUGGUCACAAGUUGCAGCUAUGCUGCUAUUAUGACCAUUUAUGCAAGUUAUCGUAUAUGGCCCCCUCUAGAGUUUCCAAAUGUAUCAUCAUAUGGUCAAAUGGGUUCUAAGAAAGUACUGAUGGAGAUCAUUACUAGCGUGGCCAGUUCUGCAUUCUUCCUAUCAGCAAGGGGUAUAAUUCUGGUAUAUCUUGCAUUUGCCAGUCUAUCAGUUAAUGCGGGUAUAGCUGUAUUGCUGUGCCAGCAACUUAGCUUAAUAUAUGAAGGAAAUACAUAUCUUAGCCAUAUAAGUUCACCAACUGAUAUUCAUGGAGAGAGAGGAUUGCGAAAUCUUGUUCGAUUUUUCGGGUGCCCCUACCCUCUUUCUAGACUAUUGUUGGGCUACACCAACACUGGCAAGUCGCAGAACAAUUCAGGCUCAAAACUUCUUUAGAGGGUCCAUUGCUAAUAUGUACAUUUCACCAAUUGAGGGAAGGAUGUUUGGUUCUGCAUUUCUGCUGCCCAAUAGCCAAUUAGUCUGUACAACUGAAGCUGGUGAUGUAAAAUAGCAGUGAUGUACUCCCUCCGUUCCGAUUUACUCGUCGUGGUUUUAGUUCAAAACCAAGACGAGUAAAUCGGAACGGAGGGAGUACAUGAUAAUUCCUAAUCUAUAAGGGGGGCUUUGUUACAAAGAUUUUCUUUUGGAUUCAGUAGUAGUAAAACGGCUGCCUUCAGGUGGAUGUUUCACCGGCGUUGCUUUACUCAGAACAGUUUCAGUUCAUGCUGAAAUACAAUGUGGCCCUAUCUGUUCAUUUCCUACAGAUGAUCUUGCUGCUCUGGUGAGUUGCAGUAUCUGGAAUUCUGAUAGUGGUGGAGUCUUUGCUCCGAGAUCACAUCUUUUAUGCUUGGGUGCUCCAGUAUAAAUCAUGGUGAAGAACUGAAGAUUGAUUAUGAUUGCAGUGACUCUGAAUGAUGCCGUGAAGGCGCAGAAUGCUUGGACCACAUCUCUUGGCUGUCAAAAUAUACUGACAUGUAUAGGAAAAGAAACCCAACACUUGUUUUUCUUCAAACCAUUUAAUCAUACUGAAGUAGCCCUGGUAAACCAUGGUCGUCAACUACAUACAGCAGGAUUACCUGUGUUGUAAUCCUGUAUCUAGCGUUGUUGAAC